GUCUACAGACAUACCACCCUGAGUGCACCCAAUCUCGUCUGAUCUUGAAUGUUAAUCAGGGUCGGGCCUGCUUAGUACUUGGUUGGAAGAAAUAAAUAAUGAACACAAAAGAUGAAAAAAUCGUAGCCC
rnacentral:rRNA from 1 species